CGAAGAAUUAACGAACAACGGAAGGCUUUGACUUCGAGGGGAAUAAUGAAGUAAAGAGGUGGAAGAGGAUUUGCGGGGAAACAUUCAUGAGUGACAAUGAGUGUGUGACCAGGGGAACAAGGAAUAAGAAGAGACCGAGAGAGGCGUUGAUUACGGAGGGAUCACGAUACUGAAGAGUUCAAGCAUUCUUAAUGAGAUCGGGUCGGAAUUGAAGACUCGACGUCUCGUUGUCGGAGAUUCGAAAAACAAACAGCAACUUCGUUGGUUUUUAACGACAGUGUUUCCACGGUCAGAAAUGCUCACUCUCAAUUCGAACAAGUGAGGAUGAUGAGCAAGUUUUGUGCAUUAUAUAAUUGAUUCAGUAGGACUGGAUAAUAUUGUUGGUGGGGAAACUAAACAAAAGCUCCAUCUUCUUUGAAAAUGAAAUGGAGGCCAGUCCGGCCACUAAGUGUCAAAUGAGCUCACCAGCCUUCCACCAUUGUCUAUGGAACGUACGUAAAGGGGUACUCUUAUUGAUUGGUAGUUCGUCCCAUAUGGAGAAAUGAAACACCCGACAGAGCUUUGUACACGAAUGCGGCGCGGUAAUUUAUUGAUCCAUUUUAUUUUCAUACCACCUCUAACCUCAAUAGUUACCCAGGGUAGUUGAGCAUGACAUCUUGGCGAGCCAGCUCCAACAACAUGGGGUCGUCGAAGAACUUAUUGAUGGACACAUCUUCGGACAGACCUUUCCUCCGUCUCGUCUUGAUCAUGAACUCGCGAGCCAAUGCCGUGGCCGGUUGGGCUUCCAAUGGCCGAAUGGUGAUCGUCUUGUCCAAGGGAUCCCCGGGUACAAUCUGCCAAUGGUGGAAUACUGACAUGCAAAACGCCUGUCCCUGCGUAUGCGUCCUCAGGUCCGUCUCAAACCCGAACGAGUCGA